GAUGAACGCUGGCGGCGUGCCUAAUACAUGCAAGUCGAGCGAACAGACGAGGAGCUUGCUCCUCUGACGUUAGCGGCGGACGGGUGAGUAACACGUGGAUAACCUACCUAUAAGACUGGGAUAACUUCGGGAAACCGGAGCUAAUACCGGAUAAUAUAUUGAACCGCAUGGUUCAAUAGUGAAAGACGGUUUUGCUGUCACUUAUAGAUGGAUCCGCGCCGCAUUAGCUAGUUGGUAAGGUAACUGCUUACCACGGCAACGAUGCGUAGCCGACCUGAGAGGGUGAUCGGCCACACUGGAACUGAGACACGGUCCAGACUCCUACGGGAGGCAGCAGUAGGUAAUCUUCCGCAAGGGGCGAAAGCCUGACGGAGCAACGCCGCGUGAGUGAUGAAGUUCUUCGGAUCGUAAAACUCUGUUAUUAGGGAAGAACAAAUGUGUAAGUAACUAUGCACGUCUUGACGGUACCUAAUCAGAAAGCCACGGCUAGCUACGUG
rnacentral:rRNA from 1 species